rnacentral:rRNA from 1 species
CAGUCGCCGCGGGAAUACGAAGGGGGCUAGCGUUGUUCGGAAUUACUGGGCGUAAAGCGCACGUAGGCGGAUCGAUCAGUCAGGGGUGAAAUCCCAGGGCUCAACCCUGGAACUGCCUUUGAUACUGUCGAUCUGGAGUAUGGAAGAGGUGAGUGGAAUUCCGAGUGUAGAGGUGAAAUUCGUAGAUAUUCGGAAGAACACCAGUGGCGAAGGCGGCUCACUGGCUCAUACUGGACGCUGAGGUGCGAAAGCGUGGGGAGCAAACAGGAUUAGAUACCCCGGUAGUCCCUGUCUCUUAUAC